rnacentral:lncRNA from 10 species
CUCGGGCCCAAGAGCUGGGCGCUGGCCCUCGGGAUCCUCCCACAGCCAAGCCAAGGUUGGGCCUGUGGAUCCUGCAGAAGGGGCCAGGGAGCAGCAAGGGGCCCCCAGAGGGAGCUGGCUGAGCUCUAGGCAGUAAAAUUAGACUCCGUCUAGAGACUGCCUCGUUCAGUGGAAGGCUGAGCUGCAGCAGACAUUAUCUCACUCCUGCUCAAUGUCCCCUCAGGCAGCACUCCCACCCUCGGGGCACCGUGUGGCAUGAGGAAGCACAGGCUGCCUGGCCCAUCCCUGCCUGGGAGGACAUCUCACGAGUGCUUCUGCUAAGUCAGGAUGAACCGGAUUGGGGUUGGGCAGGUGGCAACACGCUGCUAUUUAUGGAGGCUCCUGCCCUUCCUGCUCCUGUGAUUCCAGGAGGGCGAGGGCUGCGGCCAUCCCCACCCGGUCACGGGACUCGGCCCAUCCAGAGAGCCAGGCUAGAGCCACGACCGCAGGCUUGAAGGCUAGGAGUCUGCACAGAGAGACCACGAGAAGCAGCAGGCUGCAGGGGAGAGCCCUGGCUCAGACAGGAGACUCCAGGGGAACCAGCUAGCCCGGCCUCUGCCCACUCCUGGGGCCUCAUCUGUUCAAUGAGGGGGUUGGAUUAAAAGAGAUCCUCUCACUUCAGAGUUCCUCCACUGUCAUUAGUCUGGGUUCCCCGACUCCCGAUCCCUCCAUUGCUCCUCUCAUUAAAGUCCAUUCUAAUUAGGGGAUUAGAAUUCACCUCUGUCUAAAUUAAAGGCUGGGCAGGGAGUGAUGGCGGGCCGCAAUGAACAGAGGUUGUGCAGGUGCAGAUCUGGGCUGG